rnacentral:lncRNA from 1 species
GUCCAUGAUUGAAUAAUAUUUAUCAAAUAAAAAUGAAAAUACUAUAGUGUCGAAAUCCAAAUUUUUUUUGAACUAAACAAGGCCGAGGCUGAUGUAUAUAUUGCUGGCACAAAGGACAGUUCGGUUCGAACUUCAGCAUUGGCAUAGCCUCAGUGCCUGCUGUUCAAAAAGCGUCUAUUUUGUAUCAAUGUUGAGGUUCUGGUUAGUUUCUUAUAGAAUGAAAAACAUAAAAUAUUAACUACUUUAAAAUAAUGAAAUGUAAAAUAUUAAAAUUUUUAAGGUUAUAUGUUUAGUUUCAUUCAAAAUACAUAAUUUAGGCCUUGUUUAGUUCACUCAAAAACCAAAAACAUUUCAAAAUUUCUCGUUACAUCAAAUCUUGCAGCACAUGUAUAAAACAUUAAAUAUAGAAAAAAAAUAAAAACUAAUUGCACAAUUUGCCUGUAAAUCGUGAGAUGAAUAUUUUAAGCCUAAUUACACCAUGAUUAGACGAUGUUUGUUAAAUAAAAAGAAAAAUGCUACAGUAUCAAAAUUCAAAAACUUUUUAAAUUUAAACAAUGCCUUAUUGUCCUCGUUAUGAUAUCUUGAGACCUUUUUGGGUUUUUUAGCCUCUCGAGGCUAACAUCUAAAAUAGAGAAUAAUAACUGUUUUGCCAAAAUUUUUGCAUAGUGUAUUAGUGUUUAAUUUUAUUGUGUAAAGUGAUGGAUCAAAAUCCAGAAUUUUUUGAGAUAAAAAGGAAACUAAACACCCUCUGAGAAAGCACUGUCUUUCUAUAUUUGAGAAAUUUGAAUUUUGAACCUCUAUAAUCUAAGGCCUUGUUUAGCUCGCGAAAAGGAAUUUUUUGGAUAUCACAUUAGAUAUUGUGGGGGUAUAAACCCCUAUACCCUUACGGCUAGACUUGGGCCAGGAGACUUGGCCCAUUACGAGACAAGCUCAAAGCUUGAUCCGACAGCUUGGAGUUUCGCGCAAGGGAACAUGCCGUGAAGAUCAAGCAGGAUUCUAGUCGGUUAGAAUAGGAAUUGAUAUCGAACUAUCUAUGGCAAUUAUAACCGACUAGGAUUAGUUUCCAGAUCUGUAACCUUGCCCUCCGGACUCGGACUAUAUAAGGAGGGGCAAGGGACCCCCCUAGGACACGAUUAUUCUCUCAAC